UGGGGAAUAUUGCACAAUGGGCGCAAGCCUGAUGCAGCCAUGCCGCGUGUAUGAAGAAGGCCUUCGGGUUGUAAAGUACUUUCAGCGGGGAGGAAGGGAGUAAAGUUAAUACCUUUGCUCAUUGACGUUACCCGCAGAAGAAGCACCGGCCAACUCCGUGCCAGCAGCCGCGGUAAUACGGAGGGUGCAAGCGUUAAUCGGAAUUACUUGGCGUAAAGCGCACGCAGGCGGUUUGUUAAGUCAGAUGUGAAAUCCUCGGGCUCAACCUGGGAAAUGCAUCUGAUACUGGCAAGCUUGAGUCUCGUAGAGGGGGGUAGAAUUCCAGGUGUAGCGGUGAAAUGCGUAGAGAUCUGGAGGAAUACCGGUGGCGAAGGCGGCCCCCUGGACGAAGACUGACGCUCAGGUGCGAAAGCGUGGGGAGCAAACAGG
rnacentral:rRNA from 1 species